UACGAAGGGGGCUAGCGUUGUUCGGAAUUACUGGGCGUAAAGCGCGCGCAGGCGGUCUUCCAAGUCAGUGGUGAAAGCCCGGAGCUCAACUCCGGAAUUGCCAUUGAAACUGUUGGACUUGAGGAUGAGAGAGGUGAGUGGAAUUCCCAGUGUAGAGGUGAAAUUCGUAGAUAUUAGGAAGAACACCAGUGGCGAAGGCGGCUCACUGGCCCGGAACUGACGCUGAGGUACGAAAGCGUGGGGAGCAAACAGG
rnacentral:rRNA from 1 species